rnacentral:ncRNA from 1 species
UUUUAUAUUUUUUUAAUCAAAUAUUUGAUUCUGGUAUAAAGGCCUACUAUUUUAUUAAUUGAACAUGUGAGGAUUUUUGUGUUUUGUAUCUCUUGAUGAUGAAACUUAAUAAUCGCAGUUCUUGAUUUUGAGAUUUAAUGGAAAUUAGAUUCAGUAAAUAAUAUUAGUUUGAACGAAAUUUGUGCCAGCAGUUGCGGUUAUACAAUUCAGGCAAGUGGGUUUUCUUAGUUCAUAUUAUGUUUAUUAAAAAUUUAGACUUUAAUGUUAAAUCUUAAGUGGAAUUUUAUUUAACAUAAGUGUUUAGGGUUGAUUAAAUAAGAAAGUUAUUUUGAAAACUAGGAUUAGAUACCCUAUUAUUUUAACUGUAAAAUUGAGCUUUAGUAUUAAUAGUUAAGAUCUUUAAAUUAAAAGAAUUUGGCGGUAAUUUAGUCCUUCCAGAGGAACCUGUCCUAUAAACGACAAUCCACGAUGAAUGCAACUUCUUCUUACGCUUAUAUACCUCUGUCAUUGAAUGUUUUAUUAGAAAAUUUUCUAAAAUCUUUAUUUAGAUAAAUGUUAGGUCUAGGUGUAGCAAUGGAGGAGAAGAGAUGGGUUACAUUAAAUUUAUUUAUGAAUUUUUUAUGGAAAUAAAGUUGAAAAUGGAUUUGGAAGUAAUUACUUUUAGAAAAAAAUUUUGAUUUUGGCUCUAAAUUAUGCACAUAUCGCCCGUCAUUCUCAUUUUUAAAGUGAGACAAGUCGUAACAAAGUAGGGCUACCGGAAGGUGGUCCUGGAUAGA